CCUGGAAACAGAUGCUAAUACCGGAUAACAACACUAGACGCAUGUCUAGAGUUUAAAAGAUGGUUCUGCUAUCACUCUUGGAUGGACCUGCGGUGCAUUAGCUAGUUGGUAAGGUAACGGCUUGCCAAGGCAAUGAUGCAUAGCCGAGUUGAGAGACUGAUCGGCCACAUUGGGACUGAGACACGGUCCAAACUCCUACGGGAGGCAGCAGUC
rnacentral:rRNA from 1 species